GCGGCGGGAGGAGGCGUCCCCGGACUAGGCCUGGAGAGAAACGGGGGCUCUUGUUUCGCGGCCGGCAGCGCUCGGUGCCUGGGGGGGUCGGCAGCGGCUGAAUGACCAGGUUAUGGGGUUGAGUGCACGUCUGUGGGCGUCAGCCACCAGUAGCUGUGUUUUUUAAAAACUCUUGGUCCGUCGAGAAGAAGCAUAUUUUAAUAUUGUAGUGACUAGAGGGAGAAUUUAAACAACGAUGGUUAUUUAGUUGCUGAAUUUAGGUCAGUUAUGUGGUUUGGAGAGUUCAUGUUGCUUGCCAUCAUUUUUACUCAUCCACACGUGGAAAAUACAGAAUGCUAGUGAUAAUUCAGAAGAAUUAAAGAUGAUUGUGUAGCGAUUGCUUGAAAAUAAGAUUCUCACCGACUUCAAGAAGUAGAGAUACGGUCUUUGCUAUGAGUUGGGUGUCCAGAGUGACAUCAGGCGAUUUUUAUGGCAGCUGUCGGCACGCUGGGUCUGCGUGGUGGUCACAAACAGGAGAGGCUGACUGCAUGGCUCGUGUUUUCUGUACCAACAUACAGCUGUCCCCUGGGCUGGGCUUUAUUGUACAAUAAAAAUACUAGUGUGUUCAACAGUGUGUUCGAAACACAGCUUUAAACUGUGUGAGAGAAGACAGCACCAAUAUUCUACAACAAUGCUUGCGGUAUUUAUAUAUUGGGUAUUUCACAGAUAUGUAAACAAUCCUGUUUGGCAAGGUAUUUAGUCAGAGAACAUAUUUUCUUCCAUUAUCAGUGUAUAAAACUCAUGUAAAUUAGGAUUUUAUAUUAGUUGAUGGAAGAUGCCAUCACCAAGUGGAACUUUCUUUUUCCACAUGUUCACCUGCUGGAAAAUAAGCGUGCUCUGGCUUCUGCUCCAAGUUUCUCACCAUUAUUCAGCUGUCUGGAUGUUGUCAAAUGCUGGGAUCCAAAUAUUCCGUCUCUCUGAGAAGUGAACCCGGCAGGGCAGCUCAAUGUAGCUGCUAUCAGUGACCACCCCUUAAGUCCGAGCACUGCCAAUCUCACAGGCAGUUUGCUGGCCUGGGCGUUAUUAUCGUAAAAUGUAAGUGUUAAGGAUAGAAGUGGAGGAGAUCAGCUGAAACUGUCAAUUACUGAUUGACAGAAGUAAUCAAGCUGAAAAAGACGGAGCUUUUAGGUUACCUUGCCUAAAAAAUGUCAAGCUAAAGUGAGAUGCAGAAGCAUAAAGCUGAGUGAAAGGCACCAGCGCAGCCUGCGUGAGUUGUACGCCUUUCACUGGGAGCUGAACUGCAGACGGUGUUGAGGUAGCGGCUCCUUGAGCCAUAGCUCACGUUCGGGGAGCCCAGCAGAGCAAGGGAAAGAAAAAUGCUUCAGAAUAAUGCCAGGUUAAUUUAUCUUGGGUAGAGAUCACAGUAUUCCAAUUAUUACUUAACACCAAUUAAGCCUUUAGUAAAAGGGGACUGAGAAGAUUUGUUAAUCCUGAAGCAGUUACAGUUUCAACCUAAACUUCAACCUCAAUUUAGAACAAAGGAAUGCGAGAAAGAAGGAGAGUUAAGGAAAUCUUUGUAUUAAUUUCCUGGGGUUUUAUUUUCUUCAUUGCUUUCUUUCCUGUACUUAAUGGAUGCUUACGUGCUCUGGUAUAGUUUAUAUUUUUGGUGUUGGUUUGCAUCUUUCUUGGUCUGAUUUUUGCAUUCUCUCUAUUUUUCCUCCCUUUUCAGUCCACCUGCUGUAUUUCUCCUGCUUUUGGUUAUUCACAUGCUGUUUCCAGAGCAGGCCUUGUAGAACAUGUAUCAUAUUAAAUCCAUCCAGGUGUAACCCCUUACACUGGAAAACUAUUUUCUUAUGCUUUCUGCAUACAGCAAGCUGCUACCAGUUUACUUCCUAUUUUCUCUGUUCAAUUUCUUAGCCCAAAUCUCAUUUCAAUACUUAAAACUCUUGUCUGCAUAAGCACAGCAUUUGAGGUAGGCUAGCUAAUACCCGGUAAAGUCCUGAGCAAUGCAAAUGAACAUGUGAAUGUGCGGAGGAAGGAGAGACUCUCAUUCUUUAAUCUUCUGGUCCAUGGGAAUAGGGUUGGACUAGUCUAUUUUUGCCACACUUUUUCUGCGAUAGCGUUCCUUCUGGAAUAUAAGGGUCCUUUAUAGUGGCCCAAGUAUUGCUAAUAUGUCAAAGGCUAGGAAAUUUAGAUAGGUAUAUUAGAUUCCAACUCAUGGCUAUAUAUUUUAUGAUGGAUAAAUUCUCUUUUUAUGAAUAUCUGGCUAUGUAAUGAAAUCUGUUAAUUUAAAUGUGAAGGAAUUGCUUUUUAAUUUUGCAACAUAAGGCAGCUCUUACACCUAGCUACUCAAAAUCAGGUUUCUGUGGUUUUAGGGGGACAUUUAAGUAGAUUCUGAUUGAUUUUCAAGUGUGCUGAGUAACUCUUCUGAAAUCCAGAAGUAUUCACUGCCAGCAGUCAUUGAAAAUCAUAAUGCUUUUUUUUACAUGCUUAAAUAUGAAUUAAGAGUCUAAGCUCCCACCUUUGAAAAUGCUGAUUAUAAAUCUUUUCUGAGCUUCUGAAUUAAUAUUUUUAAUUAAACAUCUAAGAAAACAUGGUUUCUUAGAUGCAUGGUAUCAUUUUAUAACUUUAAUCUGACAUCACUCCUGGAAAUAGAAGUUUAUUAUGAAAACAAUAUAUGGUGCAUAAUAAUCUAAAUUUGUCAUCAAGUAUGAAAAUUGUGAAAGGUAUGUGAUUUGGCAUGUCUCAAUGAGAAUAUAUGUUGUGUGUUAUAAUAACCUAUACACUACUGUAAACACCUCUGACAGAUUUGAUAUGCCAAAGACAGCUGGGUUUGAAGAAACUGUGGCUGUUUAUCAAAGAAUGACAUUAUCCCCAAUCUAAACUUGGGACCUGUUAACUUUCAGUAGCGCAUCAGACAAUCCCUUGGAUUCUUUUCCUUGGAUUAUAAAUACAGCUUUUCAUACCAGCGACUUAGAUUUAUACGCAGUAGGAACAACAGAGAUGACCUUUCCUACUAAUCUUGUGUCGGAAUAGAUUUGUUUAGAAGAAUGUAUAAAAAUAAUUCUAAAACUGUAAAAUAAUUUUUUUUUUCUGUAUUUCAGUGCGAAAUAACUAAAGGCUGAGGGGCAUGUGGGGAUCAGAAACAGACCAUUUUUUUCUUUUCUCAAACUUCUUAAUAAAAGAUCAUCCAGAUAUUUUGUUUGUUUUAGGCUAGAGAUGUUUAAAAAGUUCAACUCUCACUCUGAAUUAGAAACUUAACUUUUGGCCAAGUUCCUUAAUUUUUUCUUUUCCUGAGGAUGCGGAUGCACAGCAACACAUGCAUGUGCUGUCUGUACAGGUAUCAAGAGCACCUUUACUAAUUUUCUGAAAGUGAUCAGCAAACUGUUGUUUGAUUAGCCAGUAUUAUUUCUUGAGUUAAAAAGUAGUGAUAUCCAUAACACUGACUAAUUUUAACUACUGUAUCAUAGUUCUUGAGGGUCUGAAAAGAUUUUGAGGUCCUCUGUGGAGGAGGAAAUGACGAGCAGAUGAUAAGCAGAACCACUAUAACGUACAGAAAAAUACAGGAUUUUAGCGUGGCAUGCCUAAGUCCCCAUUUUUUUGUGAUGGGCUGGAGGACUCAGCUGUUUGCAUUGGAUGACUUUCUCUGGGAAGGAUGAAAGAGCAAGCGAGAUGCUCACAUUCUGCAGAUGUGGAUAUUGCCCACCAGUGAGGUCAGAAACUGUCUUGGCUCUAACGUCCCUUGGGACCUUAGGCUAGUCAGAAGGUGAAUUACCCAAACCAAACUGAAACCAUUUGUAUUAGUGGUAAUUCUGUACUUCAUACUGAUAAAAUGUAUUUAUUAGGCAAUUUGUUCAUUAGACAAUUUGUUCAUUUGACAUUGAUAACAAUGUAAUUGUUUUAUUAUUCUAGUUUUUCAUGUGAUCUCAGCUUUCUCGUUGCGUCCAUUCGUCACUAAUUAGCCCAUUCAUACCGUGAUAUAUCAGUAACAUGCUUACUGUAAUGCAUAUUUGUUAGAUACUGAUUUUUGUGAAACUAUGACAUGUACAGGGGACUGGUGUUUUUUGUAGUGUUAUGUUGGUCACAAACUCUGUGAGUGUGGAUAACGUCAGGUAACAAAUAUGCAUUGCAUAAAAACUUUCCCUGUUGAACUGCACGAGACUCUUUGGGAACAUUUCUGGCUUUGUAAUUGUGGUGCUAAAUGGAAGGUCCUUACUUUAAUUAAGGAAGGUGUCAUCAUAACUCGUACUUCUGGAUGGCAACAUUUGGAUGCUAUGCAUUUCUCAGGGUCUUUGUUAGGGAUUUUGUAUUCCUUCAUUGUUCUUGAUAAAUGCAACCGCUUUGUUCUGCAGUGGCAGCUGUUACAAUUCAUUCGCAUGCUGGGACUGCACUGGGGACUGCUGGCAGGAGGUCGCUCUGGCUAUUCUCUCCCCUUGGCUGAUGGUGAACUAACCUGGCCAGGAUCCAGUGGAACAAACCUUUCUGCUCCCACUGCCGCAAAGGAAGAAUUAAUAGCUUUGGCAUGUUUGUACAAUCUCUGAAUGCUGAACUCAAUUCCAUGUAUGUUUUCACUCUGAAGUUUCACUCUGUUUCUAUCUGUUGCUUCUUCAGAAGAUCAGCAUGGUUAGGGAUGGUAAAGAAUGUUAUUGCCGCUGCUAGCAUUACCUUUAUUCUGAACAUUGUGUUAAGAUCUGAGACUCCUUAACAUUUGAUUCUCAGUCCAAAAAACUGAUGCCCUCUGCAGUAGUGUCAUCAGUCAUCCAAGUGAGUUACUUAUCUGGAGAUUAUUGCUAUUUAUAAUUACAAACACUGUGUUACAGCCUCUAAAUAUGAGAACUUGGUACAUUUUGCAUCUUGUUGCAAGCUCCUAGGCCAUUUUCACUUCCAUUAAGAAAUUGAUUCCUUCUAAGAUGCAGAAAAUUACAUUGCGCCUCUCUUUAGCUUUAACUCACACAGAUUCAUGUAAAUUAGAAGAUGAAGCCCUUUGUUUAUCCAGAAAUUGUCAGAGCAUGGGUGACUGCAGAGUAACCCUGAGGCUCUGCAGAUGUCUGUCAUACUUUCUUCAGUGAUCAUUCCUCCAGGUCAUUUCUUUCAUUUAUGGAGACGUUUGCCUCCUAGCCCCGUUCUCCAAAGCAUUCCAGCAAUCCCUCUCAGCCUCACAUUACCUGUACAUUUAAGAAGUACAUUAUCUACUCUGUGAUCCAAGAUAUUUCUAAACAUAGUGAGUUGCAGAAAGGAGCGCAUGGAACUCUCCUUGAUUUACUCUUCUGUUUCAAUAGAAUAUUAUGUCACUGAGAAGUGUUUUCUGGCUUUGCAUGUGUGCUGUUGGAAGUUUAAUAUUAUGGUUCUCUGAUAAAAAGAAGCAGUGGCAAAGUUUAUUAAAGUCAACAUCUGUUGUUCACAAAAUCUGCUACACUGGGUGUAGGAGGAAAAAUAGUUUGGUUUGACACAACUUAGCGAAUCCAUUCUGGACACUGUUUGUCUUUCAGAAGAUUUCAGUGUACUGAAGACUGUAUUUGCUUUAAUAGUGCCUAGGAACUGAAGUUAAACUGAAAGGUUUAAUUAUUGGCUUCUCCUUAUUUUCUUCUUUUAACUUGCACAUUGUCAUAAAUUGCCAUAUAUAACAGGAUCUGGUUUGCUACCAACUGUAUACUUUUGAAUAUAAACAUACACACACACUCUCUAAAAGUGUUAGCAAGCAAGGAAACAAAUCUGUAAAUAUCUAAAAACUGAUUGACAGAUGUGGCUAUGGCCCAGCAAAAUCUGUGAAAGUCCUGGUACUGCUUAGAGAUGUCUUCUAGCUCACGGCGUGCCCAAAGGACAGUUCAGGCAUCGCUUAACUGUGCUCCAUGAGUCUUAGGUGGGGAAAUGUUUACAUGGCUAUUGCUGGCUACUUUAAGUCCUUCUGGUGUCAUGCAAAGCUACGCUCAAUGCUCAGCAACCUAGUGACAUCAUCAGUGCAUGUGCUCCAUUCAUCAGUGCUUUCAGGAGUUUGCAUCUUGCUGCACUUGGUAAUCCAAGCAAGUGUGUAUUCUUGAAGCCUUGCAUUUAGUGCCUUAUCUAAAACCAAUCUGAGCCUAUCUGGAGAGAUGAUACUUGUCUUGGAGUCAAGUAUCUUUGGCGUGAAUCUUUCUUUACAAGACCUGCUCUUCUGAGCACAGGAGAAAUUAACUGUAGAGAGACGAUGUCCUGCCUUACAGCCCCCCUGUUUUCCCAGCCGCAUCACUAGCUGAAAAGCCUUUCCCUUACCAUUUCCCUGAGUCCUUGUAUCCAUACUGUCUCAACUGAGCAGAAGCUCCCUACCUUCUGUAUCCUAUAUUGUUUCCCUCUCAGCUGUCCUACAUUCACUCUCUUUUCUGCAAUCUCCCUCCCUAGGAAAGGUCAGCCAGAAACAAUGUUGUUCAGGAGCUUCCAAUCCCGAUCAACUGUGCUGUCACCUCAGUUCUUACAAGUGUGCUUUCCGUCUUUUACAGCUACCUGAAAAGCAAUGGUUUAGUAUGGUGUCCGUGAUCUCUACCCCACCUGUUUGUGCUCUGUAGUUUUGGUUGCAAAUUUAUGAAAGAGAUGCAUAGAAAAUUGAUUAUUAUAUAUUGUACUGGUUUUGGCUGGGAUAGAGUUUCUUCAGAGUUGUUACUAUGGGGCUAUGUUUUGGAUUUGUGCUGAAAACAGUGUUGAUAACUCAGGGAUGUUUUCGUUACUGCUGAGCAGUGCUUACACAGAGCCAAGGCCUUUUCUGCUCCUCACACCACCCCACCAGCGAGGAGGCUGGGGGUGCACAAAGAGUUGGGAGGGGACACAGCCGGGACAGCUGACCCCAACUGACCAAAGGGAUAUUCCAUACCAUAUGAUGUCAUGCUCAGCAUAUAAAGCUGGGGAAAGAAGAAAGAAGAGGGGGAUGUUCGGAGUGAUGGCAUUUGUCUUCCCAAGCAACCGUUGCACAUGAUGGAGCCCUGCUUUCCUGGAGAUGGCUGAACCCCUGCCUGCCCAUGGGAGGCGGAGAAUGAAUUCCUUGUUUUGCUUUGCCUGCGUGUGCGGCUUUUGCUUUCCCUAUUAAACUGCCUUUAUCUCAGCCCACAGGUUUUCCCCCUUCUACCUUUCCAGUUCCCUCCCCCAUCCAACCAGGGGGGAGUGAGGGAGCAGAUGCGUGGGGCUGAGCUGCUGGCUGGGGUUAAACCACAACAUAUGUUGACCAAAUGAAGAAUGCUCUUUGAGACAGGCAAAUUUUCUGCAGACUGGCAGUUUGUGGGCACCCCAAGUGGCUUGGCCUGAGCAGAUUGUGCUGACUGGAGACCGAGCAGGGCUCUCAGACCCACCUCCACAUUUCAGGGUAGCAGAGUGGUCAGAAAUGUCACAUAGUCAUCCCUCAGAUACGUCCCAAGGAAACUGAUGGGCCAAAGUAGUUUGUUACCAAGGAGGUGAAACUGGAUAGCUGGCAGUCAAACAGCAGCCGAGUGUCUCUUCUGACAGCCAGCUCUACUGGAUACUCGUGUAACUGUGUGAAACCGAGUGGUGACUUGCAGAGCUUGCGAGAGGUCUCAUCACCAGCCCCUGGCCAAACAUCCAGAGACUCCAGGGAACCUGAAGACAGACACUUCAUGGUUUCAUGAAGAUGUACUCCUUUAAGGUCCUGUGUUUAUGGGUUCUUGCUCUGGCCACCUUUUACAAGUUUUCUAGUUUAUUGUUUGAGGCUGAUAAUAAUCUCAAAUUCAUCAAGUGUUGUUUUUUCUCCUCCAGUAGUUACAUCCCUUUCUUUACCUUUCCAAGGACACUCUCCUCAGCUUUCCUUCUUUCUUUCUUCCUGUUCUUCUUAGGGAGCCUUAAAUCUUCCAGUGGCCAUUGCUUUUUUUUUUUUUUUUUUGUUAUCAACUUGAGGAAGGUUUAGUCAUGUGUUACUUGUGCUAACAGUCUCUUGUACUAACUGCAGGCAGCAUGGCCUACGCUUGUACCUGCACAUACCUCGAGAUAUUGGUUCAGCAGCAGGAGCACGGAAGCCACCAAAGCAGUAGCCAUGCUGGUAAAGCUAAUACAUGUUGCAACUUAGGUGUUCAUCCAGAUGGAUGGCCUAUUGCUGGCUCUGUGUGCUGGAGUACGUGGUCCUCCUGGAGCCGACUGAGUUCCUGUCAGAACUGCAGGAGCGUAAUAAGCGUAGGCUUCCUCCUUCUGCACCUUAGAGAUGGUGAGAAACUGCUGAGGAGAGCAAGGGAAGAGGAUGACAGAAAUAUUAAUAAAAAAGGUCUUCCAUUUCCCACUUUACUUUUCCCAGUCCCAAAGCAGCUGUAAAAAUAAGACUGCAUCUUUGGAAGAUACAUAUACGUUUAUUACACCAUUUAUAUGACAGCAGGUCUUUUGACUAACCUGCAAGCAAUUGAUAAAAGGAUUUUUCAAGCCGUGAGGACUGGUUAGAGCCUCAAGGGACCACAGGGAUCAUCGGUAAUGCUUUCUGCCCAGGGUACUGUGGUUACAGAAGGAGACUUGCUACUUUCACAGUCGUGGAGCUUCCCAUUCUUCAUUUGCAGGGCUAAUGUUGUGCUUA